AAUUCACCUUCUUUAUUUGUAAGGCUAAGAUCAUCUUGCUCUUUCUUGAAUUCAGGACCUGACUCCAUGGCCAAUUCAAUGAACCGAAGGAGUAAAAGACUGACAAUCAACUUGAAGAAGUGAUUCAGAAUCGCAAUGGGUGAAGAAUCCGUCUGGUGAUUCAAAUUCUUCUCACCCUGUUCUCCUGCUUUAUAGCCUACAAAACGGUUAACCGUUUUGAAACUUUCAAUCUUUUUUAUGCAACUUU